rnacentral:piRNA from 1 species
UAUUAAUGACAGUUGGUUCAAAGGGGUUAG